GAUGAACGCUAGCGGCAGGCUUAAUACAUGCAAGUCGUGGGGCAGCAUGAGUAGCAAUACUUGAUGGCGACCGGCAAACGGGUGAGGAACACGUACACAACCUUCCUUCAAGCGGGAAUAGCCCAGAGAAAUUUGGAUUAAUACCCCAUAAUAUAUUUGAUAAGGCAUCUUAUUAAUAUUAAAGCUUCGGCACUUGAUGAUGGGUGUGCGGCUGAUUAGAUAGUUGGCGGGUAACGGCCCACCAAGUCUACGAUCAGUAGCUGAUGUGAGAGCAUGAUCAGCCACACGGGCACUGAGACACGGGCCCAUCCUACGGGAGGCAGCAGUAAGGAUAUUGGACAAUGGACGAAGUACUGAUCCAGCCAUG
rnacentral:rRNA from 1 species